GAAGAGAUACAAAUUAGUCCAUGCCCGAAAAGAUUUACUAGAAUACAGAAUCAUUUUCAUAAAUACAUAUAAAAUUCUUCUCAAGCUAGAAUGGGACGGGCU